CCUACGGGGGGCAGCAGUGGGGAAUAUUGGGCAAUGGACGCAAGUCUGACCCAGCAACGCCGCGUGAAGGAAGAAGGCUUUCGGGUUGUAAACUUCUUUUAAGGGGGAAGAGCAGAAGACGGUACCCCUUGAAUAAGCCACGGCUAACUACGUGCCAGCAGCCGCGGUAAUACGUAGGUGGCAAGCGUUGUCCGGAUUUACUGGGUGUAAAGGGCGUGCAGCCGGAGAGACAAGUCAGAUGUGAAAUCCACGGGCUCAACCCGUGAACUGCAUUUGAAACUGUAUGGCUGGAGUGCAGGAGAGGUAAGUGGAAUUCCUAGUGUAGCGGUGAAAUGCGUAGAUAUUAGGAGGAACACCAGUGGCGAAGGCGGCUUACUGGACUGUAACUGACGUUGAGGCUCGAAAGCGUGGGGAGCAAACAGGAUUAGAUACCCUUGUAGUC
rnacentral:rRNA from 1 species